GGAGGGAUGCCCGAGUUGGUCAAAGGGAGCAGACUGUAAAUCUGCCGGCAAUCGCCUACGGUGGUUCGAACCCACCUCCCUCCACCA
rnacentral:tRNA from 1 species